CUGGAAGCCCUGUGUUUAGAAUUAAUAUACUUUCUUGGGAAUAAAUCAUGUUUCUCAUGGGUAGGACAAUAUUAAGAAGUCUCCAUAGAUGCCUGUUCUCUGGACCACUCACAGCUGACACAGAUACCUCGUACAAAGAAAUGGAGAUGAAGGAAACAGUUUUUGAACUCAACAUUCGGAGUCAGCCCUUGUCCAUGACAGACUCAUUGAAGUGUUUUCCAUACUGCUGGAUAACAGAAGGGCAGAAGACAGAAAUAUAUGAGAAGAUCAAGGAAGAUGCAACAUGGGCUAGAAUUCUGUACAGGCUGGUAAAAUUAUAAGGUCUCAUAUGAUUAAACUUGUAUGUAAGAAUUUAUUCGCUAAUGUGAGAGGUUUCUGUGAAUUUGUUUCCAAAGCUCUCAGUCAGCUUUUGGCAUUAGGCAGAGAACCAGCACCUUCAUUGCAUUUUUGUGAUCACAUAUCAGGGCCCAGGAUAUUAAAGUAAUUUUGUAGGGCUUGCCAGUAUCUUUAAGAACUCACUUCUGGUAGUUUUUUGUAAACAGGAGAGAAAACUAUCCAUCUAAUUUAUUUUCAUGUCAGUCUUUUUUGCACAGAUAAUCCUCUCUGCUUAAGGUCUUUGUGAUUUUUCUUUUUAAUAGUUAAUCUUAGCCCUUCUGACCUCUCUGCUCCAUAUAAAUACAAGUGCAAGACUUAAUGUUUAUUUUCAUGACAGGAAGGGCAGAAUUCUCUUCACUUAAGAGUGAUGAUUUUUACCUCUAUGCCUUAACAUGCAUUAGCAAAGAAAAUAAUGUUUAGAAGGAGAAAAAAGAAUGAGGAAGAUCUGUAUUAUGCUAUUGAUUCUUCAGCUCCAGAUGGUACAAUACUGCAAAUCAUGCUAACUCAGAUGACAAAUCUCAAAAG